GUUCUCAUCAGAACCUGUAGAACCUGAAGAAAAAGGCAGGAUUUACGAGGAGCUUAGGAGACCAGAGGAUACUGAUCCGUAUCAGGUGCUUGAACCAUCAAAAAGAAGAAAAAAUCCAAGGAAGAAAAAGAAACCUGUGUCGACGCAGCCGGAGCAGACAGAUAAUGAAACUUUGAUCACCACAGCCCGACCUCCAGCUCCGUCUCCCCCCUGAUGUCCUGCAUCAUCACUGCUGGGGCAACAGGCCCCACUGUUCACUACGGCUGAGAUUAGAUUAUUCACAGAUUAAUCAAUCAAUCACAGAUAAGAUAAGCAUCUACUGUUUUAUGAUAGCAAAUAACAAAUGAUUGAGUUAUUUAUCAAGACAAAAUGCAAAUAUUCUGUGGAUCCAGCUUCUAAAAUGUAGAAAUUUGAGGCAAUUUUCUCUAUUUUAAGUCACAGUUUUCCGUUUGUUCUCUGUUUUCUUACAUUGAAGCCUAAAAGCUGAAA